GCGCGGGCUGCGCGAGGCGGGCGCAGGAAAACUGUCCCACUUCGCGCGUUGAAAGGUCGCCAGUGCCUGGCACACGCUGGGUUUCAGGAGAACCAGGAAAUGUAGUUUCCUUGUGCUUGGGAUGAAAUGAAACCAUGUGGUGCGUGAAACAUAGUCUCUACCCUAGUGGGUGCUGUCAUCGCCUGCAGAGGAAGGCAGAAUGAUGGCCUCCAAAGGUGUCCACACGUCCUGAUGCCCGGGAUCCGUGGCCUUCCGUGGCAGAGGGGGAUUGAGGCUGCAGACGGAAUCAGGGUUGCUGGUCAGAGCGCGCCGCGCCACGCGGUGAGAGGGCGAGAGCGCGCCGGU